GUGAGUAACCUGCCCUUGACUCUGGGAUAAGCCUGGGAAACUGGGUCUAAUACUGGAUACUACCUCUUGCCGCAUGGUGGGUGGUGGAAAGGGUUUUACUGGUUUUGGAUGGGCUCACGGCCUAUCAGCUUGUUGGUGGGGUAAUGGCUCACCAAGGCGACGACGGGUAGCCGGCCUGAGAGGGUGACCGGCCACACUGGGACUGAGACACGGCCCACACUCCUACGGGAGGCAGCAGUGGGGAAUAUUGCACAAUGGGCGGAAGCCUGGAUGCAGCGACGCCACGUGAGGGAUGACGGCCUUCGGGUUGUAAACCUCUUUCCAUAGGGAAGAAAGUGACGGUACACUGCAGAAGAAGCGCCGGCUAACUACGUGCCAGCAGCCGCGGUAAUACGUAGGGCGCAAGCGUUGUCCGGAAUUAUUGGGCGUAAAGAGCCUCUAGAGCGUUUGAUCGCGUCUGC
rnacentral:rRNA from 1 species